UACGUAGGUGACCAGCGUUGUCCGGAUUUACUGGGCGUAAAGAGCGCGCAGGCGGUCGUUCAAGUCGAGUGUGAAAGCCCCCGGCUCAACUGGGGAGGGUCAUUCGAUACUGAUCGACUCGAAGGCAGGAGAGGGAAGCGGAAUUCCCGGUGUAGUGGUGAAAUGCGUAGAUAUCGGGAGGAACACCGGUGGCGAAGGCGGGACUCUGGGCCGAUACUGACGCUGAGGAGCGAAAGCGUGGGGAGCAAACAGG
rnacentral:rRNA from 1 species